GAUGAACGCUAGCGGCGUGCCUAAUACAUGCCAGUCGAGCGAACAGACGAGGAGCUUGCUCCUCUGACGUUAGCGGCGGACGGGUGAGUAACACGUGGAUAACCUACCUAUAAGACUGGGAUAACUUCGGGAAACCGGAGCUAAUACCGGAUAAUAUAUUGAACCGCAUGGUUCAAUAGUGAAAGACGGUUUUGCUGUCACUUAUAGAUGGAUCCGCGCCGCAUUAGCUAGUUGGUAAGGUAACGGCUUACCAAGGCGACGAUGCGUAGCCGACCUGAGAGGGUGAUCGGCCACACUGGAACUGAGACACGGUCCAGACUCCUACGGGAGGCAGCAGUAGGGAAUCUUCCGCAAUGGGCGAAAGCCUGACGGAGCAACGCCGCGUGAGUGAUGAAGGUCUUCGGAUCGUAAAACUCUGUUAUUAGGGAAGAACAAAUGUGUAAGUAACUAUGCACGUCUUGACGGUACCUAAUCAGAAAGCCACGGCUAACUACGUG
rnacentral:rRNA from 1 species